rnacentral:rRNA from 1 species
CAACCCCUAUCAUUAGUUGCCAUCAGGUCAAGCUGGGGACGUCUAAUGAAACUGCCUACGCAAGUAGUGAGGAAGGUGGGGAUGACGUCAAAUCAGCACGGCCUUACGUCCAGGGCUACACACGUGCUACAAUGGCCGGGUACAAAGGGCAGCUACCUGGUGACAGGAUGCUAAUCUCAAAAGCCGGUCUCAGUUCGGAUCGGAGUCUGCAACCCGACUCCGUGAAGUUGGAAUCGCUAGUAAUCGCGCAUCCAGCCAUGGCGCGGUGAAUACGUUCCCGGCCUU